rnacentral:lncRNA from 1 species
UUGGAUUCAUGAUAUACAUAAGGCAGAUGCAACUAAAAUUAAAAUCGUUGACUCUGUAGUACAAAACAAGGAACAUUAUCAAUUCCAAUCCCACCUUCACAGCUUCACUAUUGGAUUUGGAUUCGACACUCCGUCACCGAUAAGGUUAGACAUCCUUCUGCUGGUAUCUCAACCACAAAAAUGCAGAUUUAUUUUAAAAAAUAUAGUGGAUGACGCCAAUGCUACUCACCCCCUUGCAUGUUGUCUCUAUAGCUUAGCCACUAUCUCCAUGCCAUAGCAACCAUCUUCGCCACCACUUUCCUAGCCACCACCUUGUGCUCCAUGUCUCGCCACUAUCUCCACCACCACUGGCAGCCCUCACAGAUCGAGACAUAGAGCAAUAUCACAUGUUGAUUCAAUACAGGGAGAGAGUAAAUGGAGGGACCUAGCAGAUCAAAGAAAGAGGAUGAGAUAGAAAUAAAUGAAUCUCAAACCUGUCCGCGCUGCUGCCAAGCUGCAUCAUGUGUCGCACCACAUGCCAUUGGUCGUAUGAGCCCUCAUAUUGCUGACGCGGAGCCACUCGCAGCACCACUUGGUGCCACACAUGUGGCCGCUAGUCAUGUUACUAUGUUUUUCUUCUGAGUUGACCUUUUCUCCUACAAACUGUCACAUGUUGUUAGAACAUAUUUUAAUAGUAUUUGUGUUUGAAUGUUAUAUGCAUGCCAAGGUGCAACAAUGAGUUCUCUAGCACAAUUUGUUAUCACGAGAAUCUGUGUUGAUUAUGCAGUCCUUUAUGACUUAGCUUUCAGAUGACCAAAAGCUAGUGCAUAUGUGCCAUUUUGAAAUCCACUUUGAUGAUGUGAUUUUAAUACCGCUCCCAUAAAUGAUUACAGUACAAGUUUUUUCCUUAAUUAUUGAAUUAUCUACAACUAGUUUAUCUUGUUGCUCUAUAUGCACCAUGGGUCCAAGAAGCCAUCCAAUUUUGGUCUAGCACCACUGCCACCAUUAUCCCAAAGGGCUGGUGCUAGUAGCAGUUACCAUGAUGCUGCUAGGAUCAUCUUCACCGAUGUUGAGAUGGGAAUCAUCAGGAAGGAGAAGAACCUAUAAGAGCCUUUGAGAAGUGAUCCUAACAAGGUGAAGAGCUAACUGCUCACUCAAGAGAAGGUUGUCUACCAUUGCAGGGAUGGACCAAAUAACCGAGCUAGCAUACUCUGCAAAGGCAAAGCCAUGGAUGGUGAUGCGCACCAAAGAUCUUGAGCGCCUCUUGUUGUGACAAUGGAGGUGCACAAUACCUUUUCCCAAGAAUUGCAAUCUCUAAAGGUUUGUCCUUAGCUUGGAAUUACAAGGGACAUGUUGAUCAUUUCAUUUAUUAAUUGUUAACGUUGGUUACUAUGUUGUGUAAAUGUCCAUGAGUGCACCAGGGAUCUGUACCCAAAUGGGCAGAGAAGAUGAUGAUUGGAGAGCUAGAGCAACAGAAAAUGUUAAAAUAAAAGAUGGUAUGACAUGUUUGUUUUGUUUGCUUUAUUCAAGCAUGCAUUAUUUUGUGCUCCGUGCUUGGAAUUUUGGGUGUGGUAACAUAAAUUAAUGUGGAUGCAUAUGAUCCAAAGGUUUCCUACAACUCCAAUUGUAGUUUUUGGAAGCACUCAUGUUACAGGAUGUAGUAUGUUAGGGAACCAUACAUAAAUAAGAUGUAUCUAAAAUUACAAUCAUUCUGUUGUAACAUGAGUUUACGGCUAGCUCAUAUGAUAGACGUACUCACAAUAGUACAGAAUAGGGGAACACUGCUGGUUCCAAAGCCACUUUCACUGCUGGAUUUGGAUCCAGCAGUGCGUCACCUUCAGUGGAGAUUAGAGGUACAUACUACUGGUCUCUCAACCAGAAGUGAUGUGUAUUUUUAGGAAAAAAUAACAGUUGACGACACCAACAUAGGUCGUCCCUGUAACACCCUAGAAUCCACAAACAUCUCAGGAUGCUACUAAACUUCGCAAAGACAUCUAUACUUGCCAAAUAAAAAUUUUAGCAACAUCUCCCUUAUAUCUAUAAGCAAUGCAGAAGCAAAACAUAACAAAAGAAUAAAAGUUACUGCAAAAGAAUAAUUUUACUAACCACACUUUAAACAUUGUUGUCAAGCUAGAGACCAGAACUAAAUUAUUGCGAUUAUAAAGGUCAUAGGUUCUAAUAGGAGUGUGAGACAUGCAGUCAGUUCCCUUCUCUUCCUAGAAAGCAUCAAAUACCUGGAAAUAGUCAUGCAAGAGUGAGAUGAAACUUCUCAGCAAGAAAAAUUAUUUUGACAAGCUAUUUAAACCAUGAUUUGAAUUAAGCAACAAUUUAAAGAAAUCCACAUAAUAAUAGAAGGAAUGCAUUAAUGUAACCAUGAGUCAAAUUAAUGCUGCUAUUGACAAUGAUAACAAAUAAAUAUUAUAAUAACAAAUGAAUAUUACAACCUCUCGAAGACUACAUAUAAGACCACAUCACUCCCACAUUAGCAUGACAUGUAUAUGCCAUCAACUUCCAUGAAUACAUAUAAAAGCAAUGCAGGCCAGGAGUAAGACCAUCAUAUCCCAGAAGAUCACUAUGAUGUAUAAUGCUACAUAAAAACAUCACUUCACAUCAUUCAUAGAAUCACAACAUAUUCAGCUCCAAACUCAAACAUUAAUGCAUAUGAGUGCAAUGCAUGUCCACUUUUACAUUGCACCCCUCCUCUCUCAGGCAAUGUACAAUGCAUACUAGUAUGGUUGCAAACCAUAGGCCCGCGACAAAACUUCCAAUGCAAAUGAGAUGUUGAUGUGCAUGAUAUGCCACAAGUAUUAUUAAUCACUCCACCACCACUUCAACUUCAUCAAAGAUAUAAAUGUGACGAUAAAAUAUAGCAACAAGUAAAACCUCAGAUAGAUAAUCAUGGGCCAACAUAAUACACCAUAAUUGCCUAAACACCACAAUAUUCAGAUUAUCCUUAAAGGUAAUAUGGCUAUGAAUAUUAAAAUGUAGGUGAUAAAAAAUUACAAGUCAAAAUAGUAACAAACCACCGCUACAUUCACUGUCUCUUUACCGAAGAAGAUCAAAAGCGCUAGUGAUGAUCUGAAGCACCAACACCUGUUUUGCAACAUAUAACUCAGUAUAUACACCCAAUUAAACAAGUAUGAGCAAAUAAUAACAUCCUAUAUGCUGCAACCAACCAAAUGUAAAAAAGGGCAACACAAGAGGAGGACUGGCUGCAAAGGGAACUGAAGCGACUGUGCUUGAAGUUAGCUUCCCUGGAAAGAAUUGUUGCAAGACUAUAUUCCCGGGGUGAGGUACCUAAAGGAUGAAGAUGCUUUCCGAAAGAGGAAAAAUUAUAUUCCCAAACUCUUAGAUGGCAAUCGAAUGGCAACUUCUUAGGAGAAUAAACAUAGAGUAUUGUUUGACUUUUAUGAGAAUAUGUUGGGUACAGCCCCGUUAAGGCCCAUGAGCCUUGACCUACAAUUCUUUCAUCGGGAUUCAAUGGACUUAUCAGCUCUUGAUAAUCACGGAGGAUGAAGUUUGGGAAACAAUCAAAUCAAUGCCAUCAGAUAGUGUUAGGAUCGGCGGCUCGCCGUCCUAUGAUCGCCGCCGCACCGUCGAUGCCUGGUGCGCGGUCACCACCCAGAACCCGAGAGCGAGAGAUAGAGAUGGACAUAGGUUUUCGCUGCAACAACCGCAGCUCCUCCAGAUGCAAUCUUUGUUUAUAUAUCGCGGGCUUACCCCGCCUCCCCCCCCCCCCCCCCGCUGUAACAGCCAGCUGCACGGUGCGCCGUGAUAUCCGGAACGCCCAGUGCGACAUGCAUGGCUUGCUGCGCGACGGGGAGAUUUACAGAGCGGUCACGGCGUCAGUUGGGCAAGUCUCCAACUAACCUGCGAUUCUACGCUAAUCAAACAUGUUUGUUUCCUAAACAAAACACCUAAUGCACCUAGAAUGCUUAUGCGUGUUCAUUUGACACGAUUACAAGGUUCGACUCAACAUUUCACCCCCUUAAUUUGUCAAAUGCUAACAACCCCUAGCUGCCUUCUCAAUUCUGCGAAACGGAUCCUUGCAAGUGGCUUCGUCAGAACAUCAGCCAGCUGAUCUUCAGUGCUUAUAUGCUUCACUUCCAACACGCCACCAGCAACACACUCCCUGAUGUAGUGAUAUCUGGUGUCUAUAUGCUUCGAUCUCUCAUGAAAAACUGGAUUCUUGCUUAGCUCUUCUGCAGACCUGUUGUCGAUGAACAAUUUGAACUUCUUCACAUCACCACAGGUUAUAUCUGCUAUCAGCCUGCUAAGCCAGACUCCCUGACAGGCCCCUGUAGCAGCGGCUAUGUAUUCAGACUCACAAGAUGAUAAUGAGACCACCUUUUGUUUCUGUGAGCUCCAAGUAAUAGCAUUACCACCAUAGAAGAACAACACACCUGAUGUGCUCUUCCUUUUCUCAAGGUCACCUGCAUAGUCACUAUCUGUGAACCCAAUUAACUCAGAAUGUACCCCCUUCACAUACCUACAACCAAGCUUGAUGGUGCCUGCAACAUAUCUGAUGAUUCUCUUCAUUGCCCCCCAAAUGCUCUGAGUUCGGUGUCUCCAUGAAUCUACUAACCAUGCCCACUGAGAAAGCAAGAUCAGGCCUUGAGUUUACCAAAUACCUCGGACUACCAACUAGGCUUCUGAAUUGUGUUGCAUUUGCCACUAGCUCUGGCUUGACCGGCAACAGCUUGAUAUGCUGUUCCAUUGGAGUAUCAACCGGGUUACAUCCUUUCAUACCAGAGAUCUCAACAAUCUUCUCUGCAUAAGCACUUUGACACACUGUGAUUUCCCCUGGCUUCUGUUUUACCUCUAGUCCCAAGUAAUAUGACAGUAGGCCAAGAUCACUCUUGUCAAAACUCUUCUUCAUCUGCUGCUAGAACUCAGCUAUCCCUUUGCUGUCUGGCCCACAGAUGAUCAAAUCAUCAACAUAGACUCCAACUAGAAUCAGAGUGCUGUCUGUGCCUUUUCUGUACACAGCAUGCUCCUCCAAACUUCUAUUGAAGCCCAGCUUUCUCAACUCUUGAUCAAGUCUUGCAUUCCAGGCUCGAGGAGCCUGUUUGAGGCCAUACCAAACCUUGUUGAGUCUUAGAACCUUCCCUGAGUGCUUUGGAUCAGAAAAACCAGGUGGUGGGUUGACAUAAACUUCUUCCUCCAGAUUGCCAUUCAAGAAAGCUGAUUUGACAUCCAUAUGAUGCACCUGCCAUUCACCCUGUGCUGCAAGUGCCAACAACAGCCUCACUGUCUCCAUCCUUGCAACUGGGGCAAACACCUCAUCAUAAUCAACUCCAUGAAUCUGGGCAUAUCCCUUCACCACCAGCCUAGCUUUAUAUUUAACUAUAUUGCCAGCUGGGUCCUUCUUGACCUUAAACACCCACUUAAGGCCUAUAGCCUUAUGAUCCUUGGGCAAAUCAGCAUAAGCCCAAGUCUUGUUCUGUUCUAUCGACUUCAAUUCAGCUAACAUUGCAUCCCUCCAGCAAUUCUCCUCAAGAGCUGCCUCAACACUAGCAGGCUCUUCUGCUGCCAACAAGCACAUCCCACUAUAUUCAAAGUUCUGCACUUCAUCAGUUGAAUCCAUCAGUUCUGUCAGUAACCUGUACCUGUGAGGUCCCUCAGACACUGUUGAAUCCUGGGUAGGUGGAGUAACCCAUCCAUGCCCUUGUGCAGCACUUGACUGUAGUGUUAGAGGUGUCCUAGGUGCUCCUUGAUCAGAGAGCACAGCACCCCCUUGAUCUCCUGAAUCUGUAUCUGCCAUUUGCUGUUCAGAUUCAGAAUUCUCUGUUGUCGGAUUACUGUCAGAGUCUUCAUAACGAACAACAAACUCUCCUGACAGCUGAUCUGUGUUGCCUGUUGCAUUGGCCCAGGCCCAUGAUACAUUCUCAUCAAACAUGGCAUCUCUCCCUACCACUAGCUUGCCAGUAGCAGGAUUAUAGAAUCUAUAGCCCUUUGUUCCACUUUCAUAACCGAUGAAAAUCAUCUUGGCUGAUCUGUCAGAUAGCUUUGUCAGACCAGGACCAACCAACUUCACAUAUGCAACACACCCAAAAGUCCUCAUGUGCUUCACAUUGGGUUUUCUUCCAUGCCAAGCUUCAUAUGGGGUCAUGUUGUUCAGGCUCUUGGUGGGACACCUGUUCAACACAUACACUGCAGUACAUACAGCUUCACCCCAAAAUUCAGAAGGUAGUGCCAUUGUCUUCAACAAGCAUCUGGCCAUCUCUACUACAAUCUGAUUCCUCCUUUCUACCACCCCAUUCUGCUGAGGGGUAUAAGGAGUAGUAGUGUAAUGCUUUAUCCCACCUUCACUGCAGAAAAUUGAGAAUAGAUUGGAAUUGAACUCUCCCCCCCGAUCUGUUCUCAAUGCUUUCAACUUGCCAUCACAUUCAACCUCAGCUCUGUUUUUUAUUUUCUUAAAACAUUCCAGAGCCUGAUCCUUGCUCUUCAGCAAUUCCACCCACAUAUAUCUGCUGUGAUCAUCAACCACCAGCAAAAAAUAGGAUGCUCCCCCAAAAGACUUUGGAGAGAUAUGCCCACACAAGUCUGCAUGCACAAGUUCUAAGCAUCUUUCUGCCCUAUAGCUGGACACUUUUGGAAACAGAGACCUAUGUUGUUUUCCAAGAGCACACCCAUCACACACUUUCUCCACCCUUGUUACUGUUGGCAAACCAGUGACCAUGUUUUUGGAUUUUAGAUCACUAAGGGCUUUGAAAUUCAAAUGCCCGAAUCUAGCAUGCCAUCUCCAGGAAACAUCGUCAGCUUGGGCUUGCAGACAAACUGGUGAGUCUAACCCAAACUUAGCUAGAUAUAAUCUGUUCCCAACUCUAGGUGCAGAGAUUAGCAGUGUUUUCUCCUGAUCAUACACACACAAUCUCCCAUUCUCCCCAACAUAUUUGAACCCCUUUUCUUCCAACUGUCCCAAACUAACAAUGUUACUUUUCAGUUCAGGAAUAAAAUACACAUCAGUGAGGACCUUGUGACCCUUUUGGCGAUCUUGAAUCACCACUGAACCCAUGCCUUGGAUUCUAACUCUAGAGCCAUCCCCAAACCUUACUGAGCCUUUAACACCCUCAUUUAGCUGUGACAGCACUGAUCUGUUCCCUGUCAUAUGAUUACUUGCACCAGUAUCCAAAACCCAUACGCCAUCAGGAACAAGCACAGGUGUUACCUUCUCAAUGAGAUGAAUCUGGGACGCCUCCUGUUCGAUGUCGCAUGUUGCCAACAUCAAAGCGCUAGAGUGGUCAGCACCGCCGACAGCCACGUUCACCUCCGGCUGUGCUGCCUCCUUCUUCUCUUUCUUCGGGCGUUUACAGUCCUCCGCCCAAUGACCGUAGAUGCCACAGUUGCGGCACCGGCCCUUUCUUCGUGGUGUGCCCAUGGACGUCAGUUUGAUCUGGCCAGGGGCACCGCCAUCUGGGCGCGCCACCCCCUUGCCUUUCGAAGAGCCACUGCCGCCACCGCUCCCUCCAGGCUUGUUCCCUGAACUGAAACGAUGCUUGUGCUUCUCCAACCAAUCGUCCUCAGCCAACAUCAGUCGCCCCAUCUUGUCGGUGACCUGUUCUGUGUUGUCUUCGAGACGGUCCUGCGCCGCCCGCAGUCUACCGACGAGCUCAUCGACUGUCAAGGUCUUGAGAUCAACAAACAUCUCAAUAGACACCACGAUCUGCGAGAACCGUGGCGGUACCACUCGCAGAAACUUCUUCACGACGCGUACAUCUUCGAUCUUCUCCCCCAGAAUCUUGAGAUUCCCGACUAGAUUGGUUAUUCUCAUACCAAAAUCGUCGACGGAUUCUCCCUCCUUGAACUGGAUGUUCUCGAACUCCUUCAAGAGCCUCUGGGCGUUGACCUCCUUAACGCGAUCCGCGCCAACUCGCAUCAGUUUCACCGCUUCCCACGCCUCCUUCACGGAUUUCUUUCCCCCUAGCGUCUGCCACAUCUCCUUUGGGACCGAGCGCAGGAGUGCACUCAUGGCCUGCCGAUCUAGUGCACGCUUGGGCUUGUCACCGGGAUCGAUCACAUCCCAGAUCUCAAGCGCUUCAUAGUUGCAUUGCAUCAACAUUGACCACUCCGUGUAGUUGCCGCUGGUUAGCAUUGGCCACAUGAGGGAACUCUCCUUCACGGAGGACGUCUUGGUGGACGCGUCGCCCAUGGCGGCCGUGUGACGUACCCGGCGGCGCGAUUGCUGUUCUCCCUCUCAGAACACUCUCCCGAUGGACCACUGGAUCCACCGAUUGUCGCUCUGAUACCACGUGUUAGGAUCGGCGGCUCGCCGUCCUAUGAUCGCCGCCGCACCGUCGAUGCCCGGUGCGCGGUCACCACCCAGAACCCGAGAGCGAGAGAUAGAGAUGGACAUAGGUUUUCGCUGCAACAACCGCAGCUCCUCCAGAUGCAAUCUUUGUUUAUAUAUCGCGGGCUUACCCCGCCUCCCCCCCGCCGUAACAGCCAGCUGCACGGUGCGCCGUGAUAUCCGGAACGCCCAGUGCGACAUGCACGGCUUGCUGCGCGAUGGGGAGAUUUACAGAGCGGUCACGGCGUCAGUUGGGCAAGUCUCCAACUAACCCGCGAUUCUACGCUAAUCAAACAUGUUUGUUUCCUAAACAAAACACCUAAUGCACCUAGAAUGCUUAUGCGUGUUCAUUUGACACGAUUACAAGGUUCGACUCAACAGAUAGAGCACCGGGUCUAGAUGGAUAUACAGGUAAAUUUUACAAGGCAUGUUGGCAGGUGAUUAAAGCUGAUCUCAUGGCUGCAAUCAUUCUCACUGUUCAACAAGGUGAUGUAAUGGGGCUCAGACUAUUGAAUGCAGCUUUUAUCACUCUGAUCCCGAAGAAGAAUGUUGUAUUGGCUGCGAAAGACGUUCGCCCCAUCAACUUAGUACACAGCUUCGGUAAGCUUUUAACUAAGAUUCUCGCUAAUCGGGUGGCACCUAUCUUGGACUCCCUAAUCUCUACUAAUCAGAGUGCAUUUAUAUGUGGAAGAUGCAUUCACGAUAACUUCAUCAGUGCAGCAAACAGUUAAGGUGUUACAUCGACAUAAGGUGCCUAGCCUCUUUCUUAAUUUGGAUAUAUCAAAAGCUUUUGACUCGGCGUCUUGGCUGUUUCUUUUAGAAGUGUUACAACAUUUGGGCUUGGACUUCCGUGGCACAAUCUGGUGGCCAGUCUGUUUUCUUCAUCCUCAAUUUGAAUCUUAGUGAACGGAGAACCGGGAGAACUCUUACAACAUCAGCGUGGUCUGCAACAAGGGGACCCUCUAUCCCCCAUGCUCUUUAUUUUAGUGAUGGAUGUGCUCAACAGCCUAUUUGUGCAGGCAGCGAAUGAAGGGUUGCUACAAACUUUAUCCCCAUGGGUGGUUGGUCAAAGGCUUUCCUUAUGCUAAUGAUGUUGCAUUAUUUAUUAAGCCUAUUGAAGAGGAGAUGCAGAUCACUAAAGAAAUUCUCAAGGUGUUUGGGGAUGCUUCAGGAUUGCAGAUUAAUAUUCAAAAAAGCAAUAUUAUUCCCAUCAAUUGUGUAGGAGGGGAUUUGGCAGCAAUUCAUGAUAUUCUUCCGGGUACAAUUUUAGAGUUCCCGUGUAAAUACUUGGGCCUACCGCUAUCAAAUAAAAAGCUUAUUAAGUGUGAUCUUAUGCCAUGAAUUGAGAAAAUAGCUGAAAAACUCCCUAGCUAGAAAGCAGCUCUCAUGAAUAGGGCUGGACGUGCCAUGUUAGUCCGGUAUGUUCUCUGUGCCAUGCCGGUUCAUUUGUUAAUUGCCAUCAGCGUACCAAAAUGGUUCAUCAAGACAAUGGACAAAAUCAGAAGGGGUUCUUAUGGAAAGGAAAAGAAAAGGCUAAUGGAGGUUGUUGUCUUGUGGCUUGGGAGAAGGUCAUGAGACCAUUGGAUCUUGGUGGUUUGUGCGUCCCCAACUUGGAGGUGAUGGCCUAGGCUUUAUAAAUCAGGUGGCAAUGGAUCAAAAAGACUAAAGCUGAUCGUCUUUGGUUUGAUCUGGAACUACCGUCACACCCUAACUCAAUAGCUCUAUUUGCCAUGGCAAUCACGAUAGAGGUAGGGAAUGGACAAAAAUACUCUUUUCUGGACUGAUCGGUGGCUUCACGGAUGUUCGAUUGAAAAGCUUGCGCCAACUGUCUUUGCUCAUGUCUCUCCAAGAAUUUGCAAAAGCCAUACUGUGGCUGAUGCUCUCACCAAUGUUCUAGGGACGUUCAAGGAGGCCUAUCCUAAACUGGUAUUCGAGAAUUCCUACAGCUAUGGGAAUGGCUCUUGGGAAUUACUUUAACUGACCAAGAGGAUCGUCACAUGUGGAGGCUAGAUGCAAGGGGAUGUUACUCUUCCAGAUCUGCCUAUAAAAAAACUCGACCAGGGGGAGAGACGUCCCCCCUGAUUUUUGUCUUAAGAAGAUGGCGUCGUGACUCGAACCCGGGCUGGAUCAGCCAACCGCUUUUUUAGCGUGUUGUGCUGACCAGUUACACCAUGAGAGUGUUGGCUAGAUCUGCCUAUAAAUCUUUUUUUGUGGUGUUGUGAUCUUUGAACUUGGCAUCGGCUAUGGAAGACAUGGGUCCUGAGCAAAUACAAAAUGUUUUUGUGGCUAGCGAUACGUAAUAGAUGUUGGAGAGCAGAUCGGCUUUCCAGGAGGGGCCUCCCUCAUCCACAUAAAUGCCCCCUUUGCUACCAGGAAGAUGAGACAAUACAUCAUCUAUUAACAUCAUGUGUGGUGGCAAGACAAUUAUGGUUCAAAUUACUCACUCCACUGAACCUAGUAGACUCAGUCCCCCGACAAAAUGAAUUGAGCUUUUCUGAUUGGUGGCGCAUGACAAUAAGUAGAGUAGCAAGGAGCACAGGAAAGGUGUGAACUCUUUAAUUAUUCUAGGGACCUGGGUUAUUUGGAAGCAAAGGAAUACAUGUGUUUUUGAGGGGGCUUCCCCUUCUAUUAACAGGAUUUGGAGUGAUCUGAAGAAUGAGCAUAGCCUCUGGUGCAUGGCUGGGGCGAAGAAGCUUUAAGGGCUAGGAUUGACUCUGGUUGAAUAGGUCCAUUUAGCUAAGGUCGUGUUGUGCUAGUUCACUAUGUGUUUAAACAUUGUGUAUAUGUAAUCGCCUCACUCAUAUCCGGUCCCGUAUGAGUGAGGAUCCUGUUAGGAACCCUCUACUUUCAUCUCUAUAAUACAAUGAAACGCAGUUCUCAUGUGUAUUUUUUUAAAAGAUAUUUUUAAAUAGCAGCAGUACUGCUUCUUUUUUUCAUAGCUUUAAAACUAGAAAAUGUAUGCCAUCAAGUUAGAGCACUAUAAGCAUCUACACGGAAAAUCCUACAGUUUUGGUAUACACACAAAGAUUAAUUCUCAUAUCUACUGGAUGUAAAAUGGCUAAAAAAGCGGCACUGAAAAUUGUCCUUGCAGUACAAGGUGGCUGACUUAAAAAAAUCACAUCUCUCAAACAUCCAACCAAAAUCAGAGUUUAAAUACUAUAUGUAAAGAUCAUACAAAGUACUAUGAAAACCUCCAUAGCGCACUGGACCAAUUCGGCACCCAAAACUGAGGGUCAAAACUGAAACUGUAAUCUGACAGUAAAACAGGACAGCCAACUUCGAAAUUUUGAAUCUAGACUCGUACAUUGUACUCGACCACAAAUUAUGUUCGUUAUCAAUAUGGAAAGAUUAUCCAAUUACCUACAACCUUAAUUCAGAUAACAAUCUUCAAUUCGUCCAGGAAGAGUAUGUAAAAUAUGUUAGAACUAAACUGGUCUGAAUUUUCGACAGACCUAGACAACAAACUUCUGAAUUUCAUAUCUCCUAAAUCAUUUGGCCUAAAAUCUUCAACUUGGACUUCGUGGAAAGUUCUCAGAGUGAUCUAUAACUUCUUAGUUCAAUUGAAAAAAUAGUUCGGCCUCUGAGAUAAACAAAACUGUCGAACAACAGAAACUCCAGAUCUAAGAACUGCAGAAAAAUGUGGAUUCAAGGUCUAACAUUGAAACUUCAUCCCUAAUCCUUUCCUACCGUGAUUUACCGUACCAAAUACACCUUAAAUCAAGUUAUAUGGCAAAGGAUCAAACCUCAAUCGACCGAUCUAAUGCCUCUCCUUGAUCUUCUGGUCGCCCUUUUUACUAUCCAUCCUAGAGUUUCUUGCACCUUUGGAGAGGGAGACUAGAUGGACGAACAAGGUGCUGCCACGGUGGAGGGGAAGGAGAUCACAUGAUGGGGAGGAAAACAGGGAGGUCAGCUGUGAGAGGGGAUGGAGGUGAGUUACUGUAGCACUGGGUUUAUCUUUUUCCAAUCUCACGCAUCCAUUU